UGUAACGCUGGCGGCGUGCUUACACAUGCUCAAUAGCGAUGAAGUUCCUUCGGGAACGGAUUAGCGGCGGACGGGUGAGUAACACGUGGGUAACCUGCCUCAUAGAGGGGAAUAGCCUUUCGAAAGGAAGAUUAAUACCGCAUAAGAUUGUAGUUUCGCAUGAAACAGCAAUUAAAGGAGUAAUCCGCUAUGAGAUGGACCCGCGUCGCAUUAGCUAGUUGGUGAGGUAACGGCUCACCAAGGCGACGAUGCGUAGCCGACCUGAGAGGGUGAUCGGCCACACUGGGACUGAGACACGGCCCAGACUCUUUUGGGAGGCAGCAGUGGGGAAUAUUGCACAAUGGGGGAAACCCUGAUGCAGCAACGCCGCGUGAGUGAUGACGGUCUUCGGAUUGUAAAGCUCUGUCUUCAGGGACGAUAAUGACGGUACCUGAGGAGGAAGCCACGGCUAACUACGUGCCAGCAGCCGCGGUAAUACGUAGGUGGCAAGCGUUGUCCGGAUUUACUGGGCGUA
rnacentral:rRNA from 1 species